GCACCAGUAGCUCAGAUGGAUAGAGCAGUGGCCUUCGAAGCCACGUGUCAGGGGUUCGAGUCCCUUCUGGUGCACCA
rnacentral:tRNA from 1 species